GGUUAAGCGACUAAGCGUACACGGUGGAUGCCCUGGCAGUCAGAGGCGAUGAAGGGCGUGCUAAUCUGCGAUAAGCGCCGGUAAGGUGAUAUGAACCGUUAUAACCGGCGAUACCCGAAUGGGGAAACCCAGUGUGAUUCGUCACACUAUCAUUAACUGAAUCCAUAGGUUAAUGAGGCGAACCGGGGGAACUGAAACAUCUAAGUACCCCGAGGAAAAGAAAUCAACCGAGAUUCCCCCAGUAGCGGCGAGCGAACGGGGAGGAGCCCAGAGCCUGAAUCAGCAUGUGUGUUAGUGGAAGCGUCUGGAAAGGCGCGCGAUACAGGGUGACAGCCCCGUACACAAAAGCGCAUGUGCUGUGAGCUCGAUGAGUAGGGCGGGACACGUGGUAUCCUGUCUGAAUAUGGGGGGACCAUCCUCCAAGGCUAAAUACUCCUGACUGACCGAUAGUGAACCAGUACCGUGAGGGAAAGGCGAAAAGAACCCCGGCGAGGGGAGUGAAAAAGAACCUGAAACCGUGUACGUACAAGCAGUGGGAGCCCCACCACUAAGCCAGUGGUGAACUCCACAUACGCAUCCUUUGCUGAGGAUACGGUUAACGGAGCGAAAGCGACGUUCAACCGCAAAAGAAGCAGAGGGGGCUUAGUGGUGGGGUGACUGCGUACCUUUUGUAUAAUGGGUCAGCGACUUAUAUUCUGUAGCAAGGUUAACCGAAUAGGGGAGCCGGAGGGAAACCGAGUCUUAAUUGGGCGUUAAGUUGCAGGGUAUAGACCCGAAACCCGGUGAUCUAGCCAUGGGCAGGUUGAAGGUUGGGUAACACUAACUGGAGGACCGAACCGACUAAUGUUGAAAAAUUAGCGGAUGACCUGUGGCUGGGGGUGAAAGGCCAAUCAAACCGGGAGAUAGCUGGUUCUCCCCGAAAGCUAUUUAGGUAGCGCCUCGUGAAUUCAUCUCCGGGGGUAGAGCACUGUUUCGGCUAGGGGGCCAUCCCGGCUUACCAACCCGAUGCAAACUGCGAAUACCGGAGAAUGUUAUCACGGGAGACACACGGCGGGUGCUAACGUCCGUCGUGAAGAGGGAAACAACCCAGACCGCCAGCUAAGGUCCCAAAGUCAUGGUUAAGUGGGAAACGAUGUGGGAAGGCCCAGACAGCCAGGAUGUUGGCUUAGAAGCAGCCAUCAUUUAAAGAAAGCGUAAUAGCUCACUGGUCGAGUCGGCCUGCGCGGAAGAUGUAACGGGGCUAAACCAUGCACCGAAGCUGCGGCAGCGAACGUAUCACUUAAAGCGAUUCAGCGGGUUACGAUUGACGGAGCGAAGCGACGUCAAAGCGUAUACAAAGUCGAGUCGGUUUAAGGAUACGUUCGUUGGGUAGGGGAGCGUUCUGUAAGCCUGUGAAGGUGGCCUGUGAGGGUUGCUGGAGGUAUCAGAAGUGCGAAUGCUGACAUAAGUAACGAUAAAGCGGGUGAAAAGCCCGCUCGCCGGAAGACCAAGGGUUCCUGUCCAACGUUAAUCGGGGCAGGGUGAGUCGACCCCUAAGGCGAGGCCGAAAGGCGUAGUCGAUGGGAAACGGGUUAAUAUUCCCGUACUUGGUGUUACUGCGAAGGGGGGACGGAGAAGGCUAUGUUGGCCGGGCGACGGUUGUCCCGGUUUAAGCGUGUAGGUGUGUGUUCCAGGUAAAUCCGGUUCACUUUAACACUGAGGCGUGAUGACGAGGCACUACGGUGCUGAAGCAACAAAUGCCCUGCUUCCAGGAAAAGCCUCUAAGCAUCAGGUAACAUCAAAUCGUACCCCAAACCGACACAGGUGGUCAGGUAGAGAAUACCAAGGCGCUUGAGAGAACUCGGGUGAAGGAACUAGGCAAAAUGGUGCCGUAACUUCGGGAGAAGGCACGCUGACAUGUAGGUGAAGUGAUUUACUCAUGGAGCUGAAGUCAGUCGAAGAUACCAGCUGGCUGCAACUGUUUAUUAAAAACACAGCACUGUGCAAACACGAAAGUGGACGUAUACGGUGUGACGCCUGCCCGGUGCCGGAAGGUUAAUUGAUGGGGUCAGCGCAAGCGAAGCUCCUGAUCGAAGCCCCGGUAAACGGCGGCCGUAACUAUAACGGUCCUAAGGUAGCGAAAUUCCUUGUCGGGUAAGUUCCGACCUGCACGAAUGGCGUAAUGAUGGCCAGGCUGUCUCCACCCGAGACUCAGUGAAAUUGAACUCGCUGUGAAGAUGCAGUGUACCCGCGGCAAGACGGAAAGACCCCGUGAACCUUUACUAUAGCUUGACACUGAACAUUGAGCCUUGAUGUGUAGGAUAGGUGGGAGGCUUUGAAGUGUGGACGCCAGUCUGCAUGGAGCCGACCUUGAAAUACCACCCUUUAAUGUUUGAUGUUCUAACGUGGACCCGUAAUCCGGGUUGCGGACAGUGUCUGGUGGGUAGUUUGACUGGGGCGGUCUCCUCCUAAAGAGUAACGGAGGAGCACGAAGGUUGGCUAAUCCUGGUCGGACAUCAGGAGGUUAGUGCAAUGGCAUAAGCCAGCUUGACUGCGAGCGUGACGGCGCGAGCAGGUGCGAAAGCAGGUCAUAGUGAUCCGGUGGUUCUGAAUGGAAGGGCCAUCGCUCAACGGAUAAAAGGUACUCCGGGGAUAACAGGCUGAUACCGCCCAAGAGUUCAUAUCGACGGCGGUGUUUGGCACCUCGAUGUCGGCUCAUCACAUCCUGGGGCUGAAGUAGGUCCCAAGGGUAUGGCUGUUCGCCAUUUAAAGUGGUACGCGAGCUGGGUUUAGAACGUCGUGAGACAGUUCGGUCCCUAUCUGCCGUGGGCGCUGGAGAACUGAGGGGGGCUGCUCCUAGUACGAGAGGACCGGAGUGGACGCAUCACUGGUGUUCGGGUUGUCAUGCCAAUGGCACUGCCCGGUAGCUAAAUGCGGAAGAGAUAAGUGCUGAAAGCAUCUAAGCACGAAACUUGCCCCGAGAUGAGUUCUCCCUGAGACUUUAGGUCUCCUGAAGGAACGUUGAAGACGACGACGUUGAUAGGCCGGGUGUGUAAGCGCAGCGAUGCGUUGAGCUAACCGGUACUAAUGAACCGUGAGGCUUAACCUU
rnacentral:rRNA from 1 species